CAGUCGCCGCGGUAAUACGUAGGUGGCAAGCGUUGUCCGGAAUUAUUGGGCGUAAAGGGCUCGCAGGCGGUUUCUUAAGUCUGAUGUGAAAGCCCCCGGCUCAACCGGGGAGGGUCAUUGGAGACUGGGAAACUUUAGUGCAGAAGAGGAGAGUGGAAUUCCACGUGUAGCGGUGAAAUGCGUAGAGAUGUGGAGGAACACCAGUGGCGAAGGUGACUCUCUGGUCUGUAACUGACGCUGAGGAGCGAAAGCGUGGGGAGCGAACAGGAUUAGAUACCCGCGUAGUCCCUGUCUCUUAUAC
rnacentral:rRNA from 1 species